rnacentral:lncRNA from 1 species
UGAUCGGCUUUCAGGUAGGCUAUGGUUUUUCCCUCAUGAGAUUGAGCAUGUUUAGGCAAUUUUUUAAUGAUUUGCUUGAGUAUGGAGGGGUUCGGGUGUCGAGCGUGCUAAAUUUCUAUAAUUCCUGCCUUAGACCUUAUUUGGGGAAAUUGUUGGAUUAUGACAGCAUGACUCUUGAUAUUAUUGAACAUUCAUACCUUGUGGUGUAUAUGAUAAUAUUGAUUUGAAGUAUGUUUGGCCUUAGUCUAGGCUUAGACUAGUGUUGCCAUAGACUUGCGAGGUUUCGGAUGUCGUUGGGCAGUAGAACUUUUUCCGACGUCGUUUCGGACGGUCAGCUCCUUGUAGACUGAUAUAGCAGACUUGAGUCUGAUAAUCUGAGCCUUAGCUAGGCGGUAACUCAGCUUAUGACCUUCAAUCCAUAAUGCCCUGUUUUUCUAUCGGCUAGAGUACCUGGUUAGAGUCCGUGGUCCAGCCCACCCGUGCCCGACCUUUGGCAACAGCACCCGGUUCGAGUCCGUGGUCCAGCUUGCACGUGGUGUAUUCCCAAUUCCUUACUGAAGCUUCAGUUUUGUCCUAAUUACUCUCAUCUGUAGGUUGAGGUUUUGGAGGUUGGAGAUGUUCCGAUUAAAGUCCGGGACGUAAUGAGAUCUUGGAAUAUAAUUGGGAAUGGUUCAGUUAACGUCCGGAAAUUGGUAAUAUUGUGAUAGACCUUCUAGCUCCAUUAUUUUACUUCAACUGUCGGUGCAUCUGCCAGGCUUAUGGGGGUCCGUGCAGGUGGUUUAUUUUAUUGUGCGCGAGCGUACCCGUCGGGUUUAUGGGAGCCUGACGGAGUUAGUUAGAUUCUUUGUCUUUGUUACCUGUACGCUCGUGUACAUACCCACAUUUACUACUGUUUUACCCUUGAUUGUGACCGUUUAUUUGCAUUUCAGUUCACUUUUGCUUAUCUUGCUCAGUCGGCCUGAUGCCUACUGGGUACCUGUUGUUUUGGUACUCAUACUACCACUACAAGAAAAAUCUUUAUUUAAGACCAAUAUUUAUGGACGAGUCAAUAAUACCGUCUCUAAAAGUAGAUGUAUUGGGACGAGAUUUUAUUUCAGUCUUUAAUUCUGUAUGUUUUUGUGAAGGUACUAAAUCUAGUCUCUAGAAAAAGUAGUAACUGGUCCCAAAUCAAAAUUUAGGGGUCUUGAGAAAUAUAUAUUGAAAGGCGGGAACUGAAAUGUAAAAAAAAAUUCAUCUUUUUUCACCAAAAUUAGGCGCCUAAAAGAUCAGUACUACUGAUUGAUCAAAAUUCUAAAAGUAAAAGAAAAAAAGUAAUCGUGAAAUCAAAAACCCUAGCAACGAUAUUCCCUAACAAAAAUCUUCCCUCACAACGAUUUCUGGAAACGCACUGGUCUACCUAGCAAGAAACGCAAUACAGGUCUCUGUGUUUUCUCAGAACAGAGAAAGCAGAGGUCUGCGCAGCAGUGAUCUUCUCUCAAUCACUAUGUUCUAUUCACUCGAAUCUCAGGUAUUCCUCCACUUCUAUGAGUAGAUUUGAUUUCAUCUGUGAAGUCGAUUUGUUUUUUGUAUUGUUCGAGUUAUAUCUCUUCUUUUUUAAACUCUUGUUCUGUUAGACUAGCUGCUGACUGUUUUCUUAAAGAACAUUAAGUUUUGUAGUGUGAUAUGAUCCAAAAAAUGAAGGGGAUCAAUCCUUAAUGAAUUAAGUUACAGUUUCGUUUGGGUCUGAAGCUGAUGAACUAUGUAAAAUGCAAUAGAACUAAUGUAAAUUACCUCCUGUGGUGCUGGACAUUAAAGGUUGAAAGAGUGAUAACUUCGUUUGCAUCUGAAACUUGGGUUCUUUAAAGCUUCGUUUGCAUCUGAUGAAACUUGGACUCUUUAAAGGUUUAAAGGUUGAAAGAACUAAUGUAAAUGACUUCAUGUGGUGCUGCACAUUAAGUUACAGUUUCGUUUAAAGCAUUCUUUGAUCUUUUUCUAGCUAGUUCUCUGAUUUCUCUCUACUUGUAUCUUAGCUACGCAUCCUCUUUUGCAAGUUUUUUUUUUCUGCUCAAAAUUUGAAUUGUUGAUUGUUUUCUUCCUAUAGCAUAGUGUAUAGUGUGUGCCUAAAGAAUUGAUCAUAUUUUUACGAUGAAAUUCAUUCGAGCUAAUUAAAGAUGAAGUAUGACAUAGAACUUAUGUAAAUUACCUCUUGUAUAUGAUGUACAUAGUAGGUAGAAACAACGCUAGUUUCAUUUAGGUUUCAAAACUUGGAAAACUCGAGAUUUUCAAGAAGAUAUGUUCUAGCAGUACCACCAUAUUUUUUUCCAUUCUUGUAAAACUGAAUCACUAGUUGCUAUCUAUUUGUUCAAGUUUCACGUAAGCCUCCUCUUUUGGGACCUGAUUUUUUCUUCUUCUAUAUAUUUGAUUUGUUUGAGUUACACUACUUGUUUGAUUUCAUCUGUGAAGUCAGUUUGUUGUUUGUAUUGUUCGAUUUAUAUCUCUUCGAUUUUGAACUAUUGUUCUGUUAGACUAGUUGCUGAUCGUUUUCUUAAAGAACAUUAAGUUUUGUAGUGUGAUAUGAUCCCAAAAAUAAAGAGGAUCAGUCCUUAAAGAAUUAAGCUACAGUUUCGUUUGGGUCUGAAGUUGAUGAACUAUGUCAAAAGCAAUAGAACUAAUAUAAAUGACUUUUUGUGGUGCUGCACAUUAAAGCUUGAAAGAGUGAUAGCUUCGUUUGCAUCUGAAACUUUGAUUCUUUAGAGCUUCAUUUGCAUCUGAAACUUGGAUUCUUUAAAGCUUCGUUUGCAUCUGAUGAAACUUGGACUCUUUAAAGGUUGAAAGGCUGAAAGAACUAAUGUAAAUGACUUCCUGUGGUGCUGCACAUUAAGUUAUAGUUUCGUUUAAAGCAUUCUUUCAUCUUUUUCUAUCUGGUUCUCUGAUUUCUGUCUACUUGUAUCUCAGCUAUGCAUCCUAUUUUGCCAGUUUUUUUUUCUACUAAAAUUUGAAUUGUUGAUUGUUUUCUUCUUAUAGCAUAAUGUAUAGUGUGUGCCUAAAGAAUCGAUCAUAUUUUUACGAUGAAAUUCACUCGACCUGAUGAAAGAUGAAGUAUGACAUAGAACUUAUGCAAAUUACCUCUUGUAUAUGGUGUACAUAGUAGGUAGAAAUAACGAUAGUUUCAUUUAGGAUUCAAAACUUGGAAAACUUGAGAUUUUCAAAAAGAUAUGUUCUAGCAGUAGCACCAUAUUUUUUCCGUUCUUGUAAAACUGAAUCACUAGUUGUUCUCGAUUUGUUCAUGUUUCAUGUAAGCCUCUUCUUUUAGGACCUGAUUUUUUCUUCAUCUCUAUAUUUGAUUUGUUCGAGUUACACUACUUGUUUGAUUUCAUCUGUGAAGUCAGUUUGUUGUUUGUAUUGUUCGAGUUAUAUCUCUUCUUUUUUGAACUUUUGUUCUGUUAGGCUAGUUGUUGAUCAUUUUCUUAAAGAACAUUAAGUUUUGUAGUGUGAUAUGAUCCCAAAAAAGAAGGGGAUCAGUCCUUAAAGAAUUAAGUUACAGUUUCGUUUGGGUCUGAAGUUGAUGAACUAUGUCAAAAGCAAUAGAACUAAUAUGAAUGACUUCCUGUGGUGCUGCACAUUAAAGGUUGAAAGAGUGAUAGCUUCGUUUGCAUAUGAAACUUUGAUUCUUUAAAGCUUCGUUUGCAUCUGAUGAAACUUGGAUUCUUUAAAGGUUGAAACAACUAAUGUAAAUGACUUCUUGUGGUGCUGCACAUUAAGUUAAUGUUUGUGGCAUGAUAAGAUCCCAAAAACGAAGUUGAUCAAUCCUAAGAGAAACAAAUGUUCCUAUAGAAACAAAACAGUGAACUACUCUUAAACAGAGGCACUCACAGGUCAUGCAUUAAGACAAUGUUCGGAGAGAAGAUAUAGGAAUUUUUAUUCGACUCAAGAAAUCUAUUUUGAAUUACAAGUGAACGAAUGUUUACCUUUUAAUACUAACAGAGCACGCUGUAAAGUGUCUUCAGUUAUUAAAUCUGAUCCAAAUAUAUAGCCACGUGCAACUAAUUCUUAAAAAAGAUUUCUAUCUAACUAAAAUAAAUUAGUAAUUGCAAAAGGCACCAUUGAAUUAUUAUCUACUGUAAAUGGAUCAUAUUUUAGUGUUUUGUGUGUGUCUAAGGAAUCGAUCAUAUUUUCUUACAAUAAAAUUAACUCGAACUCACAAAAGAUGUAUGAAGCAACAUAAUUGAUACAAAUUACCUCAUGUGGUGCUGUACAUAGAAUGUAGAAAUAGUGAUAAUUCCAUUUGAGUUUCAAACUUACCAAACUUGAUAUCUUUCAAGAGAUACAUUCUUAUAGUUGCACCAUAUAUUCGGUCAUUCCUAUAAUCCUAUCAAACUCAAUCACAACAAAUUUUAUCAAAAAAGUUAUAAAAAUAUAUUGUAAUUAACUUUUAGAAGGUUAAAGAUGCAACUGACUUCUUACAGUUAUACUUCAUGUGAUUCCAUAUAUAGAAGGUAGAUACAAUGACACUUCUCUUUGGGUCCUUGAGAAAGAGAACACGGAAACCAAAUCCCCUUGUUCUACUCAUCAAGUUAUGCAAGUCUCCCAAACAACUGAAACAUGUAUGACCAACUCCCUUCCUGCAUAAGUUAGGUUGAUUCUUCCUAACAUUUUAUCAAGAAGUGGAUGACACAUUCAAUAAUUCUAUAUAUGAAUCUUUAUACAUAAGCUGGGAUAGUGCUGAUUUUGUUGAUAAAACAGAGUUGUUUUAUACAUAUGUUCCGAGUUAUUUUCAUGUUUGUGUCGUUUCUUUCUAGACAGAAAUUGGAAAACUGAUUUGCAUUGAGUUUUAGCCGUUUAGCAGCUACAACCGUAGUAAUAGCUACCACAUCUGAAAUGCUUUAGUUGUUCUGAGUUAUUUUAAUGUUUGCAUCGUUGCUUCUCUAGACAAAAAUUGAAAAACUGAUACGCAUUCAGUUUUAGCCUUUUAGAUCUCUUGGAAAUUGUUACUUCUUGUGUGCUAGCAUAUAUAAGUGAUAGAACUAUUACACUCGACCAUAUACAGAAUCUCUCGACCUGUAUAGAUACUCAACCAUAUAAAAGUUCUGCUUUGUCCACUAAGAAUAAGAUUACAAGAUAUAAAUGGCAGGAAAGAAGUAACAACGCAUUGUAGCCUCACAGUAACAACAUCCUAGCCAUAUACAAAAUGUCUCGCCCCCUAUAAGACUUAUCCUUUAUGAAUAGGCUUUUAUCGAUGCAAGAAGAACUUUGACAUCACUCUCAGGGUUAUUAAGAUAAUUUUUUUAUAUCUUUUGCUGUUGUACAUCAUGUUUUCCAUCCAUAUACAGAAUAUCUCGGCAUAAAGUCCAACAAAACAGAGAUUUCAGUUGCACCUUGAUCUGGUUUAGAGGAUCAAGUAACUAGCUAAACCUGUAUCAUUAGAAUUGCUUAACAGAUCAUUGCCUUCUUUAUCUCUAUUUUUUAAUUUUCUACACGUACAAUUGCAGGCACACAGUUUGAGAUUGUUUGGCUUCUACAAGGAUUAAUGAUGAGAAGAAAAAAGUGAUAACUUGUUUGUUUCCCCUGCUACAAUAAUAACCUGCUGGUUUAUAGCUGAAACAGUGAUAUACAUCAUGCUUGUUUAGUUACUCUGCAACAACUUCUUUCCCCUAAAACCUAAUAUAAAUCUUCUUGGUGGAGAAUUUCUCCAUUUGUGAUAGCUUAUGUCACUGAAUUUGUCCUUUCGGUAUAGAUUUGGAUUCUUGGUGAAUGCAUCUCAGUAUAGAUUUGGAUUCUUGGUGAAUACAUCUCAUCAAAGUUUUCGUAAUAAAUUUUUCUUAUGUUCUUGCAGCUUGUUGAUAUUCUGGAUAACCCUUGGUUAAUUUUAGAGUUGUUUUGUGAAGAAUGAAGCUACAAGUCAAGAUGCAAGUUUAGAAGAUGCACACGACCAUUAUUAUUUUGCUAGGAAAGUUGUGCAAGACGUGAAAUCAUAGUCUAGCUCGGGAUAUUGUUAAUUUGCUAAGCUUUUUUUUGUCAAACAAAUAUUGAAACUAACACCAUGGGAUGUUUACCUAUUUUUAUAUUUAUAUCAGCCUUUUCUAUGGAGAUUUACCAUAGCAAUCUUAUAUUUAUUGGUAGAACUUAUAAUACUUUUGUGAAAUGAGGAUCCAGAAUCAAUGGUGGACAAUUAGAGACCAAAUAUUUUGCUCGUCUCUAAAAGUUCAUCAAAGACGAGAUAGUUUCUUGUCUCUAAAAGUUUCAUCUAGGAUGAGACAACUUCUUGUCCCUAGAGGCUCAUCUAGGAUGAGGUGUUGCUUUUCUCGAAAAAUAAUCUAGGACGACGUGGUUGCUUGUCAAGAAAAAAUAAUCUAGGAUGAGGUAGUUGAUCGUCCCUAAAGAGUAAUCUAGGACGAGUUAGUUGCUAGUCUCUAAAGGGUUUAGUGACCAGAAAAUGACUAGUUUUUAAGGAAGAAAAUCAUCUAUUUGGGACGAGAUAUGUAGUCUUUAAAAGUACUUUGGUGACCAGCUUUGAUUCCGUCCCUAAACACAUUUAGCGACUAGUUAAUGGAACCUUUCCCAAUUAACCUUUAGCGAAGAAGCAUUUUAGGACGGGUGGCGACCAGCCUUUUCCCGUCUCAAAAGUCAAUUUGGGACCGGAUUUGGACAUUCUAGGACCAGAUUUCCCUUCCUUAGAAACUGUUUUUCUUGUAGUGUACACUCUGCAUCUAUUUUCAUGAUGCAGGUCCGAGUACUAGCUACCGACGUUGAUUCGAGCCAUCUGCGAUCGUGAUCGGAGGCAAGGGUGAGCACACAACGUCCUGGAUUUGCCCGUCUCCUUCUGUACUUACUUUUGCUUGUCUUUUGCCUUUUUAGACAGCUUGUUUCUGUGGUCCACUUUUAGGACUUGUACUUUUGUUAGCAGCUCUGUACUUGUGACUUCCAGGUUUUGGAGGUAUUCAUUUUGUGUAUAUAUGUCUAGUCGCUUCCGCCCG